rnacentral:lncRNA from 1 species
CUGAAGUAAAUUUAGGUUGUGAGAUGUGCCAUGAAUUCCAAAGUCAGCUCCUCAUGCUGGGAGCAGAGUGCCCCAAAUUCUUUGGAGCGAGAAGGCAGGGACCGUUAGCUGAAGCGCUGCUGUUCAUUUUAGUGGCUGUGAGCACGCAUAAGGAUGCAGGCAUUGGGAUAAAAUACACCAAUCACUUCCUGAAGGGCAUGUCUUAUAUCCUCAUUUUUUAUGGAUACCAAAACUCUGCUUCAGAAAGGUUAAAGAAGUUCUCAAGUUUUUGCAGAUGAUCGUAACUAUGCAUGUUGAAUUCAUAUACACAACAUAAACAAGAAAAG